AGGUCGCGGCACCGGACGGCAGUGAACCCGUCGACUUUUAAUCCGUAGGUUCUGGGUUCGAGUCCCAGGCGCCCUACCA
rnacentral:tRNA from 1 species